rnacentral:misc_RNA from 1 species
AGGCAACAUUGUAUAAGUGACAUUCAGUCCGUUGACCAAAGGCGACAACAGAUUGUGAGUAUUACUUAGAAUUACAAUCCUAAAUAGAUUAUUAUUUAUCAACCUGAGAAAAAAAAAAUUUGCACAGCAUUUAAAAUAGUAUACUUUUUUAAGUCUGCAUAUUUCGCAAGAAUAAUUGCAAGGCAAUCAACUCUUGAUUGAGAUUUCUUUUGUUUGGUUUAGUUUUGCUAUAAAUUUUAAAAAGCUGAAGGCCCUUGACAGACGUUAUAUUUUGAACGAGAAUAUUUUUUUAACGAAAAAAAAAAUCAGACAAUUACGCAAUGUACAAAUCUUAUAAUUCUUUACUAUUGAUAGGAAAUAUAUUUUCACUUAUAUAUUUGAUAAUUGCACUCACUUGCAAAGUAUGACGGUAAUUUUGUAAUUUAAACAUCAACAUUCUGUUAGGUUUGCUGCAUACCGGGGUCAAUGACAGUCACAUUUCAAUUUUCCUAUUUUUUGGCCCAAUUUUCAUUGAUAUCAAAAAGCCUAGAGCGAUAAUGUUUAGUUUCAUAUUUUUUUCAAUAGCUGUAAAAAUUGCACCUACACCUAAUUUUAAAUAUACACAAUUAUCCAUAAAGAAUUUGUAUGGGACAUCUUUAUAUUGUGACUAAAUUUAUGUCAAAAUAAACAAUAAAAAUUAGUAUAGUUUUACGACAUUUUUUUUUCAAAGUGGUUCUAAACAUGGUGGCGCUUUGACAGUUAACUAUUCAUCUGAUACACAUUUAGUCAUCAUCUCAAAUUUUAUUGAGACAUUAAUACAUUUUCAAAACUUAUAUAAAGUACGUUCUUUUUUUAAAUUUUUUUUUCUCAUCAUUAACAAUUUCUAACAGGUGAAAGAAAAUGGCGGCUAUUCAGUUCGGAACUUUGGGACCCGCAAAUGCUAAUAUUCAAAAUAUAAUCGAUCAAGUCAUGGGCUAAGUGGUAGAGCAAGCAGGAUUCAUUGAGCAACCGAACAUCUACAAUGCUGUCUCCGUCCGAACCCAAGUGUUGAUGGGAGGAACAAAUUGGCUUGUAAAGGUGAACAUUGGGAAUGAUUUCAUUCACCUGACGAUCAAUCAAGUGACAGGUACUCAAGUCAAUCAACCACCGACAUUGACGGGUCUACAGCAAGGACAUCUUCCCGAUGAUCCACUUGCACCGUUUUGAAAAACCCUCUGAUAGAGAGUUUUUACUUUCAAAUAAACAAUUAUUAAUCAUAAAAUAGAUAUUCUAAGAUAGUAAAACUCGUUUUUUCCUCCUUAUCAAUGAAGAUAACUUUUGAUAUAAAUUGUUAUGUAGUGUGAUUUUAAAGAAUAAAGGAUACUUAUUGCAAUAUC